ACGCUCAGUUGCCCCCAUUUCUCUCUCUUACCUGCUUUUGCUUCUCCUCAGUCCUCAUCCUCACAUCUCCUGCUUUGAUUUUGCUUUAUUUCAUUUUUUAUCUUCAACCAAUCCAACUGAUCAGUUUUGUUUGCUCACAGCCUUCUCGAUACUUCUCUUAUGGGUUUGGGUCCAACAAUGGCUGGGAUGCUGAGUUUUGUAAAUUUUUGUUGUUCUGAUUUUUCUGGUCAAUGGAUGCCCUAGCUGUUACACCUCGCAUUCCUCUCUCUCCUCAUCACCACCGUCGGAUUUCCUCCCGCUCAUUUCCAGCGUUCAUCUCCGACGCUCCAAUCAACCUCUUCGUCUUCGCCGCUCUCUCACCUGCUCCGCUAUUUCUUCUCCUUCGCUUGAAGUGAUGAUGGGAAAAUGGCACUUGGAAGACUAUGUGCACUUUGUGAGCAGGUGAAGGAACUGCUAUCUUUUUUCAAAUUUUACCCUGGUUGAGUAUCCAUAAGUUCUUUCACCUUUCUUGUAUCUGGUGGAGCUUACUCAAUCUUAAUCAUUUGUUAUUGCGUAGAAAGGGGGAUAUCUCAAGAUAUUUAGUGAAUCAGAAAUCACUUGAUCAUUCUCAACCAUUUAGUGGAUUGAAUUUUUUAACUAAUGAAGUGGGUGCUUAUUUUGUUGUAAGGGGACCAUUUGUCUUCAAUGGAGAUGUUUAGUAUGUUUUCAUUACAUAUUAUUCUAAGAUUAUAAUUUAUUAGUUAUCUUAUUUACGAGGAAAAGAAAACGGAAUCAAAUUAAUGUGCAAUUUGAUUAUUUUGCAGAAUUGGGUUUCGAAGGAAGUCCGUCAAUGGUGAUUGUAAAUUUUACUAUGCUUCUAGGCAAUUCCCCUUAUUUCUCCUCCUCCGAUCGUGCUGAUUGCAACUCUCGGGGAGGUUGUGUCAGUCUGCUCAGCAUGAACCUACCUGCAGCAAGCUACGCAGCCAAGAACUUCUUCCAAAGGUUUAAUUGCCACAGAGUUGAAAAAGAGAACAGCAACAGGAUGGAUAUGAAAUCACAUCCUGGAAAAUUAAAUCCUGAUAGUGACAAGUGCAGGUGAAGAUCUCUAAUAUAAGUGCUCCCCUAAUUUGUCAUUUGCAACUUAAUAAAUUUAUUUUUGAUGCAAGUAUAACAAGUGGCAGCAGAAGUGUAGGGUAUGAGAGUCCUUCGUGAGAUCGGCUUGUGUAUCUGACAACCUGUGUAAUCGAACAUCAUGUAAAGUCCAGGUUAAAAUGGAUAGGUGUAAUAUGGAAUUUUCCAUGCUGCAAGUGCCGAUAAAGAUUUUGGGGCUGUCUUGAAAAUGGCUCGAUUGGUAAAGGAUGUCUCUCUUAAGGCACAAAAGGUUACCUCUGAUUCAGUUGUCAAGGCUCCAUAAAAAAACUCUUAUAAUACCAGCUAAUUUGUGCAAAUUGUGGCUAAGGUCUUUGUCCGCACUCUUCAUUUUAUAGGUUUCUAUGUACAGGAAAUGUAUGAUUGAAUCAGGUAUAAAUUAUUGUUUAUUUAAUUGAAUAAGGGAUUUACCAUGAUUGGCCAGCAAUAUUGGUGUUAUGCGGCCUGUGGUGGUGGGUAUACUCUAAUAAGACAUGGCCUUUGCUUGAAGGGAUUUUCCCUUUCUUAAAUCAGGUGCAAGAUUAGGUGGGGGAUUUGGAAGGAUGAAUUUGGCUUCGUGUUAGCUGACAUUUUGAAGCAAUAUGAAAUAUUUUUCGAUGAUUUAUUACUCUACGCACUAAUUUUUUAGGUUAAUUCCAGUGUGGGUACAUGUGGUUUCAAACAAUAUAUGUGAAUUUCAAGCUGCUACUUUCUGUGUUUAUGCUUUUCUGAUUUUGUAGGAUUUUUGCUACUUUGUAUUUUGAUUACAGAUAAUUAAUGUUCAUGGGGCAUUAAAAUAAAUAAUCUGUUCUGAAAUGGGAUUUUCCUUUCUAAAAUUAGGUGGGGUAUUGGAAGGAUGAAUUUGGCUUCAUGUUAGCUGACAUUUUGAAGCAAAAUAAAGUAAAUAAUUCAGGCAUGAGAUUUGAGCCUGCGGGCAAAUGAGGAGAUCGAGAAGGAGGCUCUUUACCGAGUUCAAGCUCAAAAAAAUUCUGAAAAGUCGAAAGAGUUCAAGCUCUUCACUCUUUUGUGGGGUGUGCUGCAGAACAACGUCAUUGAUGCUUUGUGUUAAAUCUUGUAUUUUAUAACUUAAGUAGCAAUUACAUUUGAGUGAACAUGUGCAAUUUUUCAUGAUUUCCCCUCCUUUUUCCCUUCUGCAUUGUCAUGAGAAAUUCCUUAACAUAGUUAGUAAUUGAAAUUGAAGUAGCAUUCAUUAUUAUUAAAGGAUUGUAGAGUUAAUAUUUUU